rnacentral:rRNA from 1 species
AACCAACUGGGAUUACCUUAGUAACGGCGAGUGAAGCGGUAAAAGCUCAAAUUUGAAAUCUGGUACUUUCAGUGCCCGAGUUGUAAUUUGUAGAAUUUGUCUUUGAUUAGGUCCUUGUCUAUGUUCCUUGGAACAGGACGUCAUAGAGGGUGAGAAUCCCGUUUGGCGAGGAUACCUUUUUCUGUAAGACUUUUUCGAAGAGUCGAGUUGUUUGGGAAUGCAGCUCAAAGUGGGUGGUAAAUUCCAUCUAAAGCUAAAUAUUGGCGAGAGACCGAUAGCGAACAAGUACAGUGAUGGAAAGAUGAAAAGAACUUUGAAAAGAGAGUGAAAAAGUACGUGAAAUUGUUGAAAGGGAAGGGCAUUUGAUCAGACAUGGUGUUUUUUGCAUGCACUCGCCUCUCGUGGGCUUGGGCCUCUCAAAAAUUUCACUGGGCCAACAUCAAUUCUGGCAGUAGGAUAAAUCAUUAAGAAUGUAGCUACCUCGGUAGUGUUAUAGCUUAUUGGAAUACUGCU